rnacentral:rRNA from 1 species
GAUAAACGCUGGCGGCGUGCCUAACACAUGCAAGUCGAACGCCCUUUUGCGCAAGUGAGAGGGAGUGGCGGACGGGUGAGUAGCACGUGGGUACCUACCCCAAGAUGAGGAAUACCACCGAGAAAUCGGUGACAAGACCGCAUACCUUCGGCCACGAAGAAAGCUUCUCCUCACGAGAGGCGUCUUGGGAUGGGCCUGCGCCUGAUUAGCUGGUUGGUGAGGUAACAGCNCACCAAGGCGACGAUCAGUAGCUGGUCUGAGAGGAUGAUCAGCCACACUGGGAUUGAGAACGGCCCAGACUCCUACGGGGGGCAGCAGUGAGGAAUUUUCGUCAAUGGGGGCGAACCCUGAACGAGCAACGCCGCGUGCAGGAUGACAC